AUACAGAGGGUGCAAGCGUUAUUCGGAAUUACUGGGCGUAAAGCGCGCGUAGGCGGAUGAUUAAGUCAGUUGUGAAAGCCCUGGGCUCAACCUAGGAACUGCAUCUGAUACUGGUCGUCUAGAGUUUAAGAGAGGGAAGUGGAAUUCCAGGUGUAGCAGUGAAAUGCGUAGAUAUCUGGAGGAACAUCAGUGGCGAAGGCGACUUCCUGGCUUAAAACUGACGCUGAGGUGCGAAAGCGUGGGUAGCGAACGGGAUUAGAAACCCGUGUAGUCC
rnacentral:rRNA from 1 species